GCAACGGGAAUGGCCUCAGUAACGGCGAGUGAAGCGGCAAAAGCUCGAAUUGUAAUCCUUUGGGAGUUGUAAUUUCAUGACCGAUUGCAAACCUAUGUCUCUUGGAACAGAGCGUCAUAGAGGGUGAGAAUCCCGUGGGUGCUAUCAUUGUGGUUAUGGAGAGCGAGUCGAGUUGUUUGGGAAUGCAGCUCUAAUUGGGUGGUAAAUUUCAUCCAAAGCUAAAUAUUGGCGAGAGACCGAUAGCGAACAAGUACAGUGAUGGAAAGAUGAAAAGAACUUUGAAAAGAGAGUGAAAUAGUACGUGAAAUUGUUGUAAGGGAAGGCCAGUGGUUGCAUUAGUGGUUUGUGUUCUUCGGGGCGCGUAUUCACAAAAAGGAUAGGGGCUUUGCAAGGUGGGAUAGAACACCAUUGUGGAGUUUUUAUUUUUGUAGCCUCUGGCACCCGUCUUGAAACACGGACCA
rnacentral:rRNA from 2 species